rfam:Haliaeetus albicilla contig35538, whole genome shotgun sequence.
UCAUAAGUUCAUGGUUCGACACCAUGGAUCUCCAGGUGGGUCAAGAUUAUAGAGAUACACCAACCUGGAGGACUCCAUGCUGUCGAGCUGUUCAUAA